UUAACUGGUUUGUCCUGAAAAGUGUAGCAGAAGGCCACAGCUUCUUUGAGUGACUUUUUAUGCUGUUUACAGCUUUUCAGGAUGCUAAUUGACUAUCUUAGCUGUGUGCAGUUAAGGCAGUUAAUUGACAUCUAGCUGUUUCAAUCAAGUGUGCAUGAAGACACUAAAUCCAAGCAAGCUGCAUUUCUGGGUAGCGUUUCUGUUUAAAAAUCAUGUUAGUUGAAAUAUUUUAAUUGGCCAAGUAACUUCUUUGAAGGCAGAACCUUUUAGCCUUAAAAGUUAAAUCAAAACGUUGAAAGCUACAAAAAUCCCGCAUUUAUUUUUGACUUCUUAGCUGAAAGCUAAUUAGUAUUGAACAAAUGCACGUUAGCGGUGUGUUCCCACUCAUUUCUGUGGGAAGAAACUGUUGGUGAUUUUAAUACUAGAUCGCGUACACCUGCAGCUAAUUCUAGUGAACACAAAGCACCAGAGUCUGUGAAAUGGUUAACCUGUCUCUACCUAUUCACCGUUAACAUGCCUACCUCAUGCUGCAAUACACAAGUGCCCAGCCAUGCAUGAUUAGGUCCUGCGGUUAGCAGGAGUGUUCUGGAGCCAGGGCUGCUCCUGUUGAGUCAUAUUUCUUGUUCUAGAAUAAAGAGCCUCCUAGUUACCACUGCUAACUGAGUAGACGCUACGACAUAGGUGAUGUACGACACUGGCACUGGCUUGAAACCUAAGGCCUAAGUGGCUAGGGAAGAGAGAAUAACAGGGACCUGAGCUGCUAACUUCACGUGAACAAGACAGGUGUUACAGGCAUGGUGCCGUAUCUGCUCCUACAUUCAGCAUUUGGUCUGAGCACAGAUAAACUGGGAUGAGAAAGGCUUGGAAUAUGGUACAGACAUCACUGAAAUUGGCUUAGGAUGCUGAGAAGAGACAGGUUUGGAGAGUAGCACAGGAACAUGCUUAGUGCACAGCACCAAAGCUGGUAUCAGGGCGUCUUGGGACACAGCAGAUACGCAGAGGGCUGUCUGGGUUAGCUGAAAACAGACGUAUCUGGGCUGUGGCAUAGGCUCAGAGUACUGACUCCAAGGAACUUGAGGAGAACUGCAAACAAGCCUGCCUGUUGCAUAACACAGACAUACAUCAGAGAAUAAAAUGCUGGAUCAAU